UACAGAGGGUGCGAGCGUUAAUCGGAAUCAUUGGGCGUAAAGCGCACGUAGGCGGUCUGUUAUGUCGGAUGUGAAAGCCCUUGGCUCAACCUGAGGAAGUGCAUCCGAAACUGGCAGGCUAGAGUACUAAAGAGGAGUCGCGGAAUUCCCGGUGUAGCGGUGGAAUGCGUAGAGAUCCGGAAGAACACCGGUGGCGAAGGCGGCCUGCUGGGCAGUUGCUGACACUGAGGCGCGACAGCGUGGGGAGCAAACAGGG
rnacentral:rRNA from 1 species